GCAAAAAAGCUGCAAAGAAAUAUCAAACUAAGCCACUUCCACUCUCACCACCAUGAAAGCCCUAAAGGAGCAUUUUAGACUCAUGCAGCUUUUAAAAAAACCCAAAACAACCAACUCUACCAAACAGACGACAUCUUGUGGGAGCUCCAUCUUCUUCAGCCAAAAAAACUAUGGACGGGAAAAGUAUGAGCUUCUGAUUGUGGCUUGUAUGUUUGUCUCCCCCCCACCGCCUGAGCUGCCGCGGUUCACCGUGUCCUGAGGCCCCCUGAAGAGGAUGAAAACCAAAGCACAC